CACGUAGGGGCCAAGCGUUGUCCGGAUUUAUUGGGCGUAAAGAGCUCGUAGGCGGCUCGGUAAGUCAGGUGUGAAACCUCCAGGCUCAACCUGGAGACGCCACCUGAUACUGCUGUGGCUAGAGUCCGGUAGGGGAGCGUGGAAUUCCUGGUGUAGCGGUGAAAUGCGCAGAUAUCAGGAGGAACACCGGUGGCGAAGGCGGGUCUCUGGGCCGAUACUGACGCUGAGGAGCGAAAGCGUGGGGAGCGAACAGG
rnacentral:rRNA from 1 species